CGCCUUAAAUCACUUUAAUUUCUCUCUUCUUUUUCUUUUCUUUUCUUCUUCUUCUUCUUUUUUUUUUUUGGACCAACAGGUAGGGACUCCUUUAGCACUGUCGGAGGAGCACACGAGACGUGUCAUCCAGCAAAGAGAUGCACGGAGGAGUCAGCCAAGGGAGGCACAUGCAUCGAGGAGGCAUCGAUUGGAGGGGCAUGCAUGGAAUCAUCGGGCAAAGAAGAGGUGCCGAACC
rnacentral:lncRNA from 1 species